rnacentral:rRNA from 1 species
CAGUAGCCGCGGUAAUACGAAGGGGGCAAGCGUUGUUCGGAAUUACUGGGCAUAAAGGGCGCGUAGGCGGUGCACUAAGUCAGGCGUGAAAGCCCUGGGCUCAACCCGGGAACUGCGCUUGAUACUGGUGCGCUUGAAUCCAGGAGAGGGUUGUGGAAUUCCCAGUGUAGAGGUGAAAUUCGUAGAUAUUGGGAAGGACACCGGUGGCGAAGGCGGCAACCUGGUCCUUGAUUGACGCUGAGGCGCGAAAGCGUGGGGAGCAAACAGGAUUAGAUACCCCUGUAGUCCCUGUCUCUUAUAC